CAGCCGUAAACGAUGCGCGUUAGGUGUAUCGACGACCACGAGUCGUCGAGGUGCCGAAGGGAAACCGUGAAACGUGCCGCCUGGGAAGUACGGUCGCAAGGCUGAAACUUAAAGGAAUUGGCGGGGGAGCACCACAACAGGUGGAGCCUGCGGUUUAAUUGGAUUCAACACCGUAAAACUCACCAGGGUAAGACUGUUACAUGAAGGCCGAGAUGAAGACUCUGCUAGAUUUUCAGAGAGGAGGUGCAUGGCGUCAGUGACU
rnacentral:rRNA from 1 species